rnacentral:rRNA from 1 species
GGGAUGGAAACUGCUGAUCUAGAGUAUCGGAGAGGAAAGUGGAAUUCCUAGUGUAGCGGUGAAAUGCGUAGAUAUUAGGAAGAACACCAGUGGCGAAGGCGACUUUCUGGACGAAAACUGACGCUGAGGCGCGAAAGCCAGGGGAGCGAACGGGAUUAGAUACCCCGGUAGUCCUGGCCGUAAACGAUGGGUACUAGGUGUAGGAGGUAUCGACCCCUUCUGUGCCGGAGUUAACGCAAUAAGUACCCCGCCUGGGGAGUACGACCGCAAGGUUGAAACUCAA